rnacentral:lncRNA from 1 species
UGACAGUGGAAGGCUCUCCUGAGUGCCUCCCUGGCCUCAUUAGCACCUCACUCACUGCUGGGGCCCAGAGUACUAAGAUGGAAAAGCACCGCACAGAGGACCA